rnacentral:rRNA from 1 species
AACGAACGCUGGCGGCGUGCCUAAUACAUGCAAGUCGAACGAGAAAGUGUAGCAAUACAUUAGUAAAGUGGCAGACGGGUGCGUAAUACAUAGGUAAUCUACCUCUAAGAUGGGGAUAACCUCCCGAAAGGAGGGCUAAUACCGAAUGAGACCACGAGCACUAAGGUGCUUGAGGUUAAAGAUGGCCUCUACUUGUACGCUAUUACUUAGAGAUGAGCUUAUGCACCAUCAGUUAGUUGGUAGGGUAACGGCCUACCAAGACGACGACGGUUAGCUGAUCUGAGAGGUUGAUCAGCCACACUGGAACUGAGACACGGUCCAGACUCCUACGGGAGGCAGCAGUAGGGAAUAUUGCGCAAU